rnacentral:tRNA from 1 species
GAGAGUGUAGCUUAGUGGUAGAGCAUUUGCCUAGCAUGCAUGAUGAGAUCCUGGGUUCCAUCCCUAGCACCA